rnacentral:lncRNA from 1 species
GGGGUCGCGGCAUCCUUACGAGGAGGCAGAGGGAGGUCUGACUGCUCAAGACAAGGGGAGGUGAAGAUAGAAGCAGAGCCCAGAGAUGCGGCCCCGAGCAAGGAAGGCUGGCAGCCACCAGAAACCGGAGGAGGCAAGGGAUGGAUUUUUUCCUGGAGCCUCCGGAAGGAACCAGCCCUGUUGACACCUGAGUUUAGCCCUAUGGAUGAGGCAGCUGCUGCUCCAGCAGCCAUCUUGGACCACGAGGUGAUUGAGAGGAUGGAAGCCCCAAGCUGAGAAUGAUGGAGCAGAAAGAGC